CACGACUACAUUAGAUACCCGCGUAGUCCCAGCCCUAAACGAUGCGCGUUAGGUGUAUCGGUGACCACGAGUCACCGAGGUGCCGAAGGGAAACCGUGAAACGUGCCGCCUGGGAAGUACGGUCGCAAGGCUGAAACUUAAAGGAAUUGGCGGGGGAGCACCACAACGGGUGGAGUCUGCGGUUUAAUUGGACUCAACGCCGGGAAGCUUACCGGAUAAGACAGCGGAAUGAUUGCCGGGCUGAAGACCCUGCAUGACCAGCUG
rnacentral:rRNA from 1 species